rnacentral:rRNA from 1 species
AGAAUCAACGCUGGCGGCGUGCCUAACACAUGCAAGUCGAACGCGAAAGGGGAGCAAUCCCUGAUUAGAGUGGCAAACGGGUGAGUAACACGUGGGUGACCUGCCUUCGAGUGGGGGAUAACCUUCCGAAAGGAGGGCUAAUACCGCAUGACAUACCGUGUUUGGAUACACGGAUAUCAAAGCCGGGGAUCGCAAGACCUGGCGCUUGAAGAGGGGCCCGCGUCCGAUUAGCUAGUUGGUGGGGUAACGGCUCACCAAGGCUCCGACCGGUA